UACGUAGGGGGCAAGCGUUGUUCGGAAUCACUGGGCGUAAAGGGAGCGUAGGUGGCUUUAUAAGUUAGAAGUUUAAUUCGCGGGCUUAACCCGCGUGUGGCUUCUAAUACUGUAAGUCUUGUGUAUGAAAGAGGGAGAUGGAAUUCCAGGUGUAGCGGUGGAAUGCGUAGAUAUCUGGAAGAACACCAGCAGCGAAGGCGGUCUCCUGGUUCAAUACUGACACUGAGGCUCGAAAGUUAGGGGAGCAAACAGGAUUAGAUACCCUGGUAGUCCUAACCGUAAACUAUGUACACUAGUUGUUGGGGGAGUCAAUCUUUCCAGCGACGUCGCUAACGCAUUAAGUGUACCGCCUGGGAAGUACGCUCGCAAGAGUGAA
rnacentral:rRNA from 1 species